GAUGAACGCUGGCGGCGUGCCUAAUACAUGCAAGUCGAGCGAACAGACGAGGAGCUUGCUCCUCUGACGUUAGCGGCGGACGGGUGAGUAACACGUGGAUAACCUACCUAUAAGACUGGGAUAACUUCGGGAAACCGGAGCUAAUACCGGAUAAUAUAUUGAACCGCAUGGGUCAAUAGUGAAAUACGGUUUUGCUGUCACUUAUAGAUGGAUCCGCGCCGCAUUAGCUAGUUGGUAAGGUAACGGCUUACCAAGGCAACGAUGCGUAGCCGAACUGAGAGGGUGAUCGGCCACACUGGAACGGAGACACGGUCCAGACUCCUACGGGAGGCAGCAGUAGGGAAUCGUCCGCAAUGGGCGAAAGCUUGACGGAGCAACGCCGCGUGAGUGAUGAAGGUCUUCGGAUCGUAAAACUCUGUUAUUAGGGAAGAACAAAUGUGUAAGUAACUAUGCACGUCUUGACGGUACCUAAUCAGAAAGCAACGGCUAACUACGUG
rnacentral:rRNA from 1 species